rnacentral:lncRNA from 1 species
AUCAUUUGAUACCUCCACUUCUCCCACCAUGCCUCCCCACAAGAUAGACUACAAGAUAGACUAAUGGGCGUAUAAAGUAGAAUCAUAAAUGACCACAGAGCAUUUCCUAUCGGUCUCUGGAAAACUGUUGUCUUAACAAACAACAACAACAAAGCAAGACUUUACUCAAGAGUUGAUAGCAGUGUUUUUUUUUUUCCAUAGGGGACAAAAGAGGUGCAUGCUUUGUGUAGAGAAAACAGAGCUGAUCCAGCACAGCAGUAAACCCAGGCAUAUAAUUCUACCUAUUGCCACUGCUCACCAAACCACAUGGUGUAUUUCCUUUUGCCAGAUCAAAGCCAUGCCACAUGGAGCAGAACAAACAAAGCUUCAGCCAAGCAUUCUACCAAGUAGAGGGGAUGGACAAGAAUAAACUUCACCAAAACACAUGUACUUUCAUGUACUUGAGAGUUGUCCAGAUAAAAUUUCCCUGUGACCAGACUGUUCUUCCCCCCUCCCACCACAAAACAGGAA